rnacentral:lncRNA from 1 species
ACAAGACUUUAUUAUUUUGCUGAAGAAAUGGAUAUGUUCAGCCUGCUAUUUGGGGCAGGACUUCAAGGACUGGAAUGAAAGACACAACCCUUUUCGGAUAUGGAAUCCUUGGAUGAAAUGUGCUUUGAACAAAAUUCUUUCUCCGUUUAGUUUGACACUACUCAGCCUUGUAAUAGGCCAAGCCAUGGAUUCCUUUGCAACCUGCCUGUGAAAAAGACAUCACCUGGUUACUUCAGAGCUCUGCUCCCUUCCUGUUAAGGAUGCAGAGUUGACUCUUGGCACAACGAAGCUUAGAGAAACCUGGAAUGUUUUAUGGAUGCUGUCUGGCAGUUUUGAUUCAGAACUAGAGGAAGACCAACAGCAAAACAAGCUGGUCCCAGGUCAGCUGAAAAAAGAGCUCACCAGUAAGAUGGACUCCAGAAGAGAUAAGCACCAUGUAGGAGAAUUUUCCAGGUUUUGAUUACCUGCCACUCUGGCAGCUACCCUUUUUUCUAUUAACUCCACAACGUGUGACUCGGAAGAGAAAAAUAUCUUGUGUGGGCUCACCUACCGAAUCAGU